CCUACGGGAGGCAGCAGUGGGGAAUUUUGGACAAUGGGCGAAAGCCUGAUCCAGCCAUGCCGCGUGCAGGAUGAAGGCCUUCGGGUUGUAAACUGCUUUUGUACGGAACGAAACGGUCUCUUCUAAUAAAGGGGGCUAAUGACGGUACCGUAAGAAUAAGCACCGGCUAACUACGUGCCAGCAGCCGCGGUAAUACGUAGGGUGCAAGCGUUAAUCGGAAUUACUGGGCGUAAAGCGUGCGCAGGCGGUUAUAUAAGACAGUUGUGAAAUCCCCGGGCUCAACCUGGGAACUGCAUCUGUGACUGUAUAGCUAGAGUACGGUAGAGGGGGAUGGAAUUCCGCGUGUAGCAGUGAAAUGCGUAGAUAUGCGGAGGAACACCGAUGGCGAAGGCAAUCCCCUGGACCUGUACUGACGCUCAUGCACGAAAGCGUGGGGAGCAAACAGGAUUAGAUACCCUGGUAGUCCACGCCCUAAACGAUGUCAACUGGUUGUUGGGUCUUCACUGACUCAGUAACGAAGCUAACGCGUGAAGUUGACCGCCUGGGGAGGUACGGCCGCGAGUAGAACGACAAUAGAGUAGUACGGCGUGAGACGUGCGACGGACGACGACGAGGGAGGAGG
rnacentral:rRNA from 1 species